AAUUCUCAACUGCCUCAGGUCUUGCGGCUUGCAGGUGAAGUUGGACUUUGGAGGUUUGCUGGCGCAUGAAUGGGCUUCGUGUCCUGUCGUGCUUGUCGGCUCCUCUUGAAUGCAUGAGCUUUCCAAUCCUUGGCAAAGUAUCGUCGAUGUGAUAAUUAUCUGCGUCGCCCGAGAAAAGCCUAACAGGGGAAAUCUUUGAUCACGCUGGGGUGACCCACGUCUGACAA
rnacentral:misc_RNA from 1 species